rnacentral:rRNA from 1 species
AACGAACGCUGGCGGCAUGCCUAACACAUGCAAGUCGAACGAAGUCUUCGGACUUAGUGGCGCACGGGUGCGUAACGCGUGGGAAUCUGCCCUUGGGUGCGGAAUAACUUCUCGAAAGGGAUGCUAAUACCGCAUAAUGUCGUAAGACCAAAGAUUUAUCGCCCAAGGAUGAGUCCGCGUAAGAUUAGCUAGUUGGUGGGGUAAAAGCCUACCAAGGCGACGAUCUUUAGCUGGUCUGAGAGGAUGAUCAGCCACACUGGGACUGAGACACGGCCCAGACUCCUACGGGAGGCAGCAGUGGGGAAUAUUGGACAGUGGGCGAAAGCCUGAUCCAGCAAUGCCGCGUGAGUGAUGAAGGCCCUAGGGUUGUAAAGCUCUUUUACCAGGGAUGAUAAUGACAGUACCUGGAGAAUAAGCUCCGGCUAACUCCGUGCCAGCAGCCGCGGUAAU